UCGAGGUUUAGACUAAUCUUCGAAUAUUUUACAAUUGUCGUUAUACUUGGCUCAUGGUCGAGGAUGAAUAAUCAUUGUCGGUAGUUUUCUGACCUUUUUGAAUUAUAUAAAAUUUGUAAGAAUUUUAUAGAGUAAGUCCAUUAAUGAAAUCGAACAAUCAUAAGUCUGAUCGAUAACACAUUCGGUGGUUCUAAGAGUUCCAUAUCUGA
rnacentral:lncRNA from 1 species